UCUUAUGUACAUGCCUACAACGUUAAUGCACAAAAUCUCAUCAUAACUUCAUAGUUAAGCACACUUGGGAUAGAAUAGUAGUGGGAUGAGUGACCUCCUGAGAAUCCUAGUGUUUUACAUGCC
rnacentral:rRNA from 1 species